GACAGAGGUGCCGAGCGUUAGGCGGAAUCACUGGGCUUAAAGCGUGUGUAGGCGGAGGCCUAAGUACCUUGUGAAAUCCCACGGCUCAACCGUAGAACUGCUUGGUAUACUGGGUCUCUUGAGCCACCUAGGGGCAAGUGGAACAAACGGUGGAGCGGUGAAAUGCGUAGAGAUCCGGAGGAACACCAAAGGCGAAGGCAGUGUCCUGGGGAGUACCUGACGCUCAGGUGCGAAAGCCAGGGGAGCGAACGGG
rnacentral:rRNA from 1 species